rnacentral:sRNA from 1 species
CGGUGCGGCACGCACCCGGCGUUCUACGCACCGCCCACACUCACCUGACGACUGCUCGCCACGCCUUGUAAGCC